rnacentral:rRNA from 1 species
AGUCGAACGGGCUUGGGGGCUUGCUCCCGGGUUAGUGGCGAACGGGUGAGUAAUAUAUCGGAACAUAUCCGGAAGUGGGGGAUAACGUAGCGAAAGUUACGCUAAUACCGCAUAUGCCCUGAGGGGGAAAGGGGGGGAUCGCAAGACCUCUCGCUUUCGGAGUGGCCGAUACCGGAUUAGCUAGAUGGUGAGGUAAAGGCUCACCAUGGCGACGAUCCGUAGCUGGUCUGAGAGGACGACCAGCCACACUGGAACUGAGACACGGUCCAGACUCCUACGGGAGGCAGCAGUGGGGAAUUUUGGACAAUGGGCGAAAGCCUGAUCCAGCCACACCGCGUGAGUGAAGAAGGCCUUCGGGUUGUAAAGCUCUUUCAGCCGGAAAGAAAUCGCACUUUUUAAUACGGAGUGUGGAUGACGGUACCGGAAGAAGAAGCACCGGCUAACUACGUGCCAGCAGCCCGCGGUAAUACGUAGGGUGCGAGCGUUAAUCGGAAUUACUGGGCGUAAAGCGUGCGCAGGCGGUUUGAUAAGCCAGAUGUGAAAUCCCCGGGCUUAACCUGGGAACUGCAUUUGGAACUGUCAGACUAGAGUGUAGCAGAGGGGGGUAGAAUUCCACGUGUAGCCAGUGAAAUGCGUAGAUAUGUGGAGGAUACCAAUGGCGAAAGGCAGCCCCCUGGGUUACACUGACGCUUCAUGCACGAAAGCGUGGGGAGCAAACAGAUUAGAUACCCCUGUUAGUCCACGCUCCUAAAACGAUGUCAACUAGUUGUUGGGGGAGAGGAGACUUCCCUUAGUAACGCAGCUAACGC